GUCCUUGUUCAGUCAGUCAUUACUGGGGCAGCAUGGAGCUCAGUCUGCUCUCCCUGAUGCUCUUGCUGGUUGUGCUCAUCCACUGUGGACAAACUCAAGAAAAGCCCAAACUGAGGGUGGAGCCUCAGAGCCCAGACACAGUUACUCUGAGCUGUGAGCUGCCACAGUCUACUGGAUGGACGAUUAUAUGGGAGAAAAACUCUGAUGUUUUA